CCCUUAGAUGUUCUGGGCUGCACGCGCGCUACACUGAUGCGCUCAACGAGUUUAUGACCUUGCCCGGAAGGGUUGGGUAAUCUUCUUAAAACGCAUCGUGAUGGGGAUAGAUUAUUGCAAUUAUUAAUCUUCAACGAGGAAUUCCUAGUAAGCGCGAGUCAUCAGCUCGUGCUGAUUACGUCCCUGCCCUUUGUACACACCGCCCGUCGCUACUACCGAUUGAAUGGUUUAGUGAGGCCUUCGGAUCCGCGACUCGUUUUGUGGAGAAGUUGGACAAACUCAGUCAUUUAGAGGAAGUAAAAGUCGUAACA
rnacentral:rRNA from 1 species